UACAGAGGUCUCAAGCGUUGUUCGGAUUACUGGGCGUAAAGGGCGCGUAGGCGGUCAGCACAAGUCAGUUGUGAAAUCUCCGGGCUUAACUCGGAAAGGUCAACUGAUACUGUGCGACUAGAGUGCAGAAGGGGCAACUGGAAUUCUCGGUGUAGCGGUGAAAUGCGUAGAUAUCGAGAGGAACACCUGCGGCGAAGGCGGGUUGCUGGGCUGACACUGACGCUGAUGCGCGAAAGCCAGGGGAGCGAACGGG
rnacentral:rRNA from 1 species